rnacentral:rRNA from 1 species
UUAAAAAGCUCGUAGUUGGAUUUCUGGGAGAGUGGCGAUGUCCGCUUAACGUGUGUGCAGCGACGCUCUUCCAUCCUUCUGUUAGCGUCUCUUGGCAUUCAUUUGCUGGUGGCGGGCUCAGAUAUUUUACCUUGAGAAAAUUAGAGUGCUUCAGGCAGGCUAGGCCGGAAUACAUUAGCAUGGAAUAAUGGAAUAGGACUACGGUCUCUUUGUUGGUUUGAGGGACUGCAGUAAUGAUUAAUAGGGAUAGUUGGGGGCAUUAGUAUUUAAUUGUCAGAGGUGGAAUUCUCAGAUUUGUUAAAGACUAGCUUAUGCGAAAGCAUUUGCCAAGGAUGUUUUCAUUAAUCAAGAACGAAAGUUAGGGGAUCAAAGACGAUCAGAUACCGUCCUAGUCUUAACCAUAAACUAUGCCGACUCGGGAUCGGGGGCGUGUUCUAUCCGCCUUCGGCACCGUAUGAGAAAUCAAAGUCUUUGGGUUCUGGGGGGAAUAUGGUCGCAAGGCUGAAACUUAAAGGAAUUGACGGAAGGGCACCACCA